rnacentral:rRNA from 1 species
UACGUAGGUCCCGAGCGUUGUCCGGAUUUAUUGGGCGUAAAGCGAGCGCAGGUGGUUUAUUAAGUCUGGUGUAAAAGGCAGUGGCUCAACCAUUGUAUGCAUUGGAAACUGGUAGACUUGAGUGCAGGAGAGGAGGGUGGAAUUCCAUGUGUAGCGGUGAAAUACGUAGAUAUAUGGAGGAACACCGGUGGCGAAAGCGGCUCUCUGGCCUGUAACUGACGCUGAGGCUCGAAAGCGUGGGGAGCAAACAGG